GACGAACGCUGGCGGCGUGCUUAACACAUGCAAGUCGAACGGUAAGGCCCUUCGGGGUACACGAGUGGCGAACGGGUGAGUAACACGUGGGUGAUCUGCCCUGCACUUCGGGAUAAGCCUGGGAAACUGGGUCUAAUACCGGAUAGGACCACUGCCUGCAUGGGUGGUGGUGGAAAGCUUUUGCGGUGUGGGAUGGGCCCGCGGCCUAUCAGCUUGUUGGUGGGGUGAUGGCCUACCAAGGCGACGACGGGUAGCCGGCCGGAGAGGGUGACCGGACACACUGGGACUGAGAUGCGGCCCAGAGUGCGACGGGAGGCAGCAGGGGGGAAUAUUGCACAAUGGGCGCAAGCCUGAUGCAGCGAGGCCGCGUGAGGAAGGACGGCUUUCGGGUGGUAAACCUCUUUCAGCGCGGACGAAGCGCAAGGGACGGUAGGUGCAGAAGAAGGACCGGCCAAGUACGUGCCAGCCGCCGCCGUAA
rnacentral:rRNA from 1 species